rnacentral:rRNA from 1 species
UAGGGAAUCUUCCACAAUGGACGCAAGUCUGAUGGAGCAACGCCGCGUGAGUGAAGAAGGUUUUCGGAUCGUAAAGCUCUGUUGUUGGUGAAGAAGGAUAGAGGCAGUAACUGGUCUUUAUUUGACGGUAAUCAACCAGAAAGUCACGGCUAACUACGUGCCAGCAGCCGCGGUAAUACGUAGGUGGCAAGCGUUGUCCGGAUUUAUUGGGCGUAAAGCGAGCGCAGGCGGAAUGAUAAGUCUGAUGUGAAAGCCCACGGCUCAACCGUGGAACUGCAUCGGAAACUGUCAUUCUUGAGUGCAGAAGAGGAGAGGGGAAUUCCAUGUGUAGCGGUGGAAUGCGUAGAUAUAUGGAAGAACCCCAGUGGCGAAGGCGGCUCUCUGGUCUGCAACUGACGCUGAGGCUCGAAAGCAUGGGUAGCGAACAGG